GCAGUCGACUUGCGCCAGCCCAGAGGCUGGGGAGGCGUCCGAGCCUCCGUCCCGCCUCGUCGUUGAAGAAGGUUAAGGACAAGCGCCAGCUCACCUGCGCUGGGGCAGGGAAGGGCAGAGUGGCCGAGCCCGGGAGGGCGCGACAGGGGCGAGGCGACCCCAGUCCAGAGGCUGACUUCCUCACCGCCCUGGGUCCCGUAAGUGGGAGCGCCGGUCCGGUGCAAGCUCACGGCCUAUCCGUGAAUCUCCUCGGCUUCAGCGGGGACCCAGGACCCCGCUCCCUACCCGCCCGACCCUCCGUGGCCCGCGGGGACGCUCAGCGCCCGGGCCGUGCGCGCGGAAAGAGCCGCACCGGAGGAGGCGCAGGCGGCCGGGUCCCUACCCCGGACCCGCGGGCGGCGCCCCCGCCCCCACCCCCACCCGCCCCGCGCCCCGGGAGCGCAGGCAGGCGGCGGUAGGGGGCGGGGAGCGGCCACGGUGGCCGCCGCCGGACCCCAGUCGCGCGGCCCUCGCGCCACGCCCCACCUCGGCCCGGACCCACCUGCGCUCCUGCCCCGGCCGCGGCCUGGCCCGGGGCUGCACCAGCCCGACGCAGUGGUGGCGGCAGCAGCGGUGGCGGGAGGCCUGGCUCACUCCCCACCGCUGAGUCGGACCGAGCACCCAGCGCGGCGCGGCGGCGCCCAACGCUCGCCCCGAAACCCAUUUGUUUGGCUAAAACGGAGUGACGUCACGCGCCGGCCCAAUCGACGGUUGGCCGGGGGAGGGGCCACGGAUCCAGAGUUUCACGGCGCCCCCUGCCGGACACUGGGGGCGGGAAGGGGGAAGUGAAAAGGGAGACCUGGAUGACGCGUCUGCGGCCCCCAAGUGGUAGAGAAUGAAAGUUUGAGCACGACUGUAGGGAAAGGAAUCAAACCUCCCAGGCCAGCCAAGAAGGAAUCCUGAUCUGGGCUACCCUAUCUGUGCUUCUGGUGAGGUGGGCCCAGAACCAUCGUGUGAAUAAUGAUUGACCUCAGCUAGUGGUUCUCAUGGAGUGAUUGAUUUUGCUUCCCAGAGGACAUCAGCAAUGUCUGGAGACAUUUCCAGUUGUCACUACUUGAGAGGAAGCGUGAUCGGCCUCUAGAAGGGAGAGACCAGGGAUGCCGCUGCUCACAACAACGAGAAAAAGAGAAACAUGCAAGAAACCAUCUGUUUGCUGCUAGAUGCCAUUGUGUCUGCAAUGUGAUAUCUGGAACUAUGGCUGUCAUCCUGGAACCAUGAGAGGAGUUAGCUGAAGAAACAGGAGGAUGGCAAAGCGGAAGGAUGGAAGUUACCUGAGGCUGAGGACAUCAGUGCACCUCUGAUUUAACCAAUCCUUGAGACUUCUUGUUAUAUGAGAUAAUAAAUUCUAUUGCUAUUUAAGUCAUGUAUAGGGCUUUAAAACAUUUCAUAGCUGAAAACAUCCUGAUAUAUAUUUUAUAUUUUUAUUUGAUAUGUGGAAGAGAAAAUAAAAUAUGGGAGGAAAGACACUAACCUCCUUUGGGGGCAGGCUCUACAAUUGUCCAGUAAUAAAAUAAUUUUCUUUGCUGUGCUUCCAGAAUGAUCUUAAACUAAUGAUACCAGAAGUUGAUAAAAUCAGUGGGGGAAACAGUCUGUCUAUUAAUGCAUAAGAUUGUGUUAUUUAAGUAAAUGAGUAGGCACUCAUGUGACAUUUUGAAAUCUUCAAGAAAAUGAUAUUUUCCAGUCACUGCAAUUUAAUUUGGGGGAGCCUGCAGCAUUAGCAUGAGACCAGCCAGCCUGUCCUUAUUCUUCUCAAGCCCUAGCACACCUAAUUCACAGGCACCUGCUACAGCAAAGGAGGAGCUGCCUGG
rnacentral:lncRNA from 1 species